rnacentral:rRNA from 1 species
GGGUUGUGAGGUUAAGCGACUAAGCGUACACGGUGGAUGCCCUGGCAGUCAGAGGCGAUGAAGGACGUGCUAAUCUGCGAUAAGCGCCGGUAAGGUGAUAUGAACCGUUAUAACCGGCGAUUUCCGAAUGGGGAAACCCAGUGUGAUUCGUCACACUAUCAUUAACUGAAUCCAUAGGUUAAUGAGGCGAACCGGGGGAACUGAAACAUCUAAGUACCCCGAGGAAAAGAAAUCAACCGAGAUUCCCCCAGUAGCGGCGAGCGAACGGGGAGGAGCCCAGAGCCUGAAUCAGCAUGUGUGUUAGUGGAAGCGUCUGGAAAGGCGCGCGAUACAGGGUGACAGCCCCGUACACAAAAGCGCAUGUGCUGUGAGCUCGAUGAGUAGGGCGGGACACGUGGUAUCCUGUCUGAAUAUGGGGGGACCAUCCUCCAAGGCUAAAUACUCCUGACUGACCGAUAGUGAACCAGUACCGUGAGGGAAAGGCGAAAAGAACCCCGGCGAGGGGAGUGAAAAAGAACCUGAAACCGUGUACGUACAAGCAGUGGGAGCACAGGUUUACCUGUGUGACUGCGUACCUUUUGUAUAAUGGGUCAGCGACUUAUAUUCUGUAGCAAGGUUAACCGCAUAGGGGAGCCGGAGGGAAACCGAGUCUUAAUUGGGCGUUAAGUUGCAGGGUAUAGACCCGAAACCCGGUGAUCUAGCCAUGGGCAGGUUGAAGGUUGGGUAACACUAACUGGAGGACCGAACCGACUAAUGUUGAAAAAUUAGCGGAUGACCUGUGGCUGGGGGUGAAAGGCCAAUCAAACCGGGAGAUAGCUGGUUCUCCCCGAAAGCUAUUUAGGUAGCGCCUCGUGAAUUCAUCUCCGGGGGUAGAGCACUGUUUCGGCUAGGGGGCCAUCCCGGCUUACCAACCCGAUGCAAACUGCGAAUACCGGAGAAUGUUAUCACGGGAGACACACGGCGGGUGCUAACGUCCGUCGUGAAGAGGGAAACAACCCAGACCGCCAGCUAAGGUCCCAAAGUCAUGGUUAAGUGGGAAACGAUGUGGGAAGGCCCAGACAGCCAGGAUGUUGGCUUAGAAGCAGCCAUCAUUUAAAGAAAGCGUAAUAGCUCACUGGUCGAGUCGGCCUGCGCGGAAGAUGUAACGGGGCUAAACCAU